UACGUAGGGGGCAAGCGUUGUCCGGAAUCAUUGGGCGUAAAGCGCGUGUAGGCGGCUCGGUAAGUCCGCUCUGAAAGCCCGGGGCUCAACCCCGGGAGGCGGGUGGAUACUGCCGGGCUAGAGUCCGGAAGAGGCGAGUGGAAUUCCUGGUGUAGCGGUGGAAUGCGCAGAUAUCAGGAGGAACACCAACGGCGAAGGCAGCUCGCUGGGACGGUACUGACACUGAGGCGCGAAAGCGUGGGGAGCGAACAGG
rnacentral:rRNA from 1 species